rnacentral:rRNA from 1 species
GAGUCUGCAACUCGACUCCAUGAAGUCGGAAUCGCUAGUAAUCGUGAAUCAGAAUGUCACGGUGAAUACGUUCCCGGGCCUUGUACACACCGCCCGUCACACCAUGGGAGUGGGCUGCACCAGAGUAGAUAGCUUAACCUUCGGGAGGGCGUUUACCACGGUGUGGUUCAUGACUGGGGUGAAGUCGUAACAAGGUAGCCCUAGGGGAACCUGGGGCUGGAUCACCUCCUUAACGA